GAUGAACGCUGGCGGCGUGCCUAAUACAUGCAAGUCGAGCGAACGGACGAGAAGCUCGCUUCUCUGAUGUUAGCGGCGGACGGGUGAGUAACACGUGGAUAACUUACCUAUAAGACUGGGAUAACUUCGGGAAACCGGAGCUAAUACCGGAUAAUAUUUUGAACCGCAUGGUUCAAAAGUGAAAGACGGUCUUGCUGUCACUUAUAGAUGGAUCCGCGCUGCAUUAGCUAGUUGGUAAGGUAACGGCUUACCAAGGCAACGAUGCAUAGCCGACCUGAGAGGGUGAUCGGCCACACUGGAACUGAGACACGGUCCAGACUCCUACGGGAGGCAGCAGUAGGGAAUCUUCCGCAAUGGGCGAAGGCCUGACGGAGCAACGCCGCGUGAGUGAUGAAGGUCUUCGGAUCGUAAAACUCUGUUAUUAGGGAAGAACAUAUGUGUAAGUAACUGUGCACAUCUUGACGGUACCUAAUCAGAAAGCCACGGCUAACUACGUG
rnacentral:rRNA from 1 species